AAGCAAAGAGAAAAUUCAACACAUCAUUCUGAAAAAGAAGAAAAACAACCCCUACUAAGCUUA
rnacentral:snoRNA from 1 species